ACGUGGCCUAGUGGUAUCACGUCCGGCCGUAGUGCCAGAGACGUGGGUUCAAUCCCG
rnacentral:tRNA from 1 species